GGUUAAGCGACUAAGCGUACACGGUGGAUGCCCUGGCAGUCAGAGGCGAUGAAGGACGUGCUAAUCUGCGAAAAGCGCCGGCGAGGUGAUAUGAACCUUUGACCCGGCGAUGUCCGAAUGGGGAAACCCAGUGUGUUCCGACACACUAUCGUUAACUGAAUACAUAGGUUAACGAGGCGAACCGGGGGAACUGAAACAUCUAAGUACCCCGAGGAAAAGAAAUCAACCGAGAUUCCCCCAGUAGCGGCGAGCGAACGGGGAGCAGCCCAGAGUCUGAAUCAGCUUGUGUGUUAGUGGAAGCGUCUGGAAAGUCGCACGGUACAGGGUGACAGUCCCGUACACGAAAAUGCACAGGUUGUGAACUCGAAGAGUAGGGCGGGACACGUGGUAUCCUGUCUGAAUAUGGGGGGACCAUCCUCCAAGGCUAAAUACUCCUGACUGACCGAUAGUGAACCAGUACCGUGAGGGAAAGGCGAAAAGAACCCCGGCGAGGGGAGUGAAAAAGAACCUGAAACCGUGUACGUACAAGCAGUGGGAGCCUCUUUUAUGGGGUGACUGCGUACCUUUUGUAUAAUGGGUCAGCGACUUAUAUUCUGUAGCAAGGUUAACCGUAUAGGGGAGCCGAAGGGAAACCGAGUCUUAACUGGGCGUUAAGUUGCAGGGUAUAGACCCGAAACCCGGUGAUCUAGCCAUGGGCAGGUUGAAGGUUGGGUAACACUAACUGGAGGACCGAACCGACUAAUGUUGAAAAAUUAGCGGAUGACUUGUGGCUGGGGGUGAAAGGCCAAUCAAACCGGGAGAUAGCUGGUUCUCCCCGAAAGCUAUUUAGGUAGCGCCUCGUGAACUCAUCUUCGGGGGUAGAGCACUGUUUCGGCUAGGGGGCCAUCCCGGCUUACCAACCCGAUGCAAACUACGAAUACCGAAGAAUGUUAUCACGGGAGACACACGGCGGGUGCUAACGUCCGUCGUGAAGAGGGAAACAACCCAGACCGCCAGCUAAGGUCCCAAAGUCAUGGUUAAGUGGGAAACGAUGUGGGAAGGCACAGACAGCCAGGAUGUUGGCUUAGAAGCAGCCAUCAUUUAAAGAAAGCGUAAUAGCUCACUGGUCGAGUCGGCCUGCGCGGAAGAUGUAACGGGGCUAAACCAUGCACCGAAGCUGCGGCAGCGACGCUUAUGCGUUGUUGGGUAGGGGAGCGUUCUGUAAGCCGUUGAAGGUGUCCUGUGAGGGGUGCUGGAGGUAUCAGAAGUGCGAAUGCUGACAUAAGUAACGAUAAAGCGGGUGAAAAGCCCGCUCGCCGGAAGACCAAGGGUUCCUGUCCAACGUUAAUCGGGGCAGGGUGAGUCGACCCCUAAGGCGAGGCCGAAAGGCGUAGUCGAUGGGAAACAGGUUAAUAUUCCUGUACUUGGUGUUACUGCGAAGGGGGGACGGAGAAGGCUAUGUUAGCCGGGCGACGGUUGUCCCGGUUUAAGCAUGUAGGCGGAGGUUCCAGGUAAAUCCGGUUCCUUAUUAACGCUGAGGUGUGAUGACGAGGCACUACGGUGCUGAAGUAACAAAUGCCCUGCUUCCAGGAAAAGCCUCUAAGCAUCAGGUAACAUCAAAUCGUACCCCAAACCGACACAGGUGGUCAGGUAGAGAAUACCAAGGCGCUUGAGAGAACUCGGGUGAAGGAACUAGGCAAAAUGGUGCCGUAACUUCGGGAGAAGGCACGCUGAUAUGUAGGUGAAGCCCCUGCGGGUGGAGCUGAAAUCAGUCGAAGAUACCAGCUGGCUGCAACUGUUUAUUAAAAACACAGCACUGUGCAAACACGAAAGUGGACGUAUACGGUGUGACGCCUGCCCGGUGCCGGAAGGUUAAUUGAUGGGGUUAGCGGCAACGCGAAGCUCUUGAUCGAAGCCCCGGUAAACGGCGGCCGUAACUAUAACGGUCCUAAGGUAGCGAAAUUCCUUGUCGGGUAAGUUCCGACCUGCACGAAUGGCGUAAUGAUGGCCAGGCUGUCUCCACCCGAGACUCAGUGAAAUUGAACUCGCUGUGAAGAUGCAGUGUACCCGCGGCAAGACGGAAAGACCCCGUGAACCUUUACUAUAGCUUGACACUGAACACUGGUCCUUGAUGUGUAGGAUAGGUGGGAGGCUUUGAAGCGUGGACGCCAGUCUGCGUGGAGCCAACCUUGAAAUACCACCCUUUAAUGGCUGGUGUUCUAACGUAGACCCGUGAUCCGGGUUGCGGACAGUGUCUGGUGGGUAGUUUGACUGGGGCGGUCUCCUCCCAAAGAGUAACGGAGGAGCACGAAGGUUAGCUAAUCCUGGUCGGACAUCAGGAGGUUAGUGCAAUGGCAUAAGCUAGCUUGACUGCGAGAGUGACGGCUCGAGCAGGUGCGAAAGCAGGUCAUAGUGAUCCGGUGGUUCUGAAUGGAAGGGCCAUCGCUCAACGGAUAAAAGGUACUCCGGGGAUAACAGGCUGAUACCGCCCAAGAGUUCAUAUCGACGGCGGUGUUUGGCACCUCGAUGUCGGCUCAUCACAUCCUGGGGCUGAAGUAGGUCCCAAGGGUAUGGCUGUUCGCCAUUUAAAGUGGUACGCGAGCUGGGUUUAGAACGUCGUGAGACAGUUCGGUCCCUAUCUGCCGUGGGCGCUGGAGAAUUGAGGGGGGCUGCUCCUAGUACGAGAGGACCGGAGUGGACGCAUCACUGGUGUUCGGGUUGUCAUGCCAAUGGCACUGCCCGGUAGCUAAAUGCGGAAGAGAUAAGUGCUGAAAGCAUCUAAGCACGAAACUUGCCCCGAGAUGAGUUCUCCCUGAGACUUUAAGUCUCCUGAAGGAACGUUGAAGACUACGACGUUGAUAGGUCGGGUGUGUAAGCGCAGCGAUGCGUUGAGCUAACCGAUACUAAUGAACCGUGAGGCUUAACCUU
rnacentral:rRNA from 1 species